GAUGAACGCUGGCGGCGUGCCUAAUACAUGCAAGUCGAGCGAACGGACGCGAAGCUUGCUUCUCUGAUGUUAGCGGCGGACGGGUGAGUAACACGUGGAUAACCUACCUAUAAGACUGGGAUAACUUCGGGAAACCGGAGCUAAUACCGGAUAAUAUUUUGAACCGCAUGGUUCAAAAGUGAAAGACGGUCUUGCUGUCACUUCUAGAUGUAUCCGCGCUGCAUUAGCUAGUUGGUAAGGUAACGGCUUACCAAGGCAACGAUGCAUAGCCGACCUGAGAGGGUGAUCGGCCCCACUGGAACUGAGACACGGUCCAGACUCCUACGGGAGGCCGCAGUAGGGAAUCUUCCGCAAUGGGCGAAAGCCUGACGGAGCGACGCCGCGUGAGUGAUGAAGGUCUUCGGAUCGUAAAACUCUGUUAUUAGGGAAGAACAUAUGUGUAAGUAACUGUGCACAUCUUGACGGUACCUAAUCAGAAAGCCACGGCUAACUACGUG
rnacentral:rRNA from 1 species